rfam:Bacillus sp. SGD-V-76 genomic scaffold Scaffold1, whole genome shotgun sequence.
AGAACCUUUAAAGACAGUCCCGUGAGGCUGAGAAGGAAACGUACAAAACGUGGGUUUUUUCUACCCUUUUCUACAGAUAAACGUAGGCGUUUUAAUCCUCUCACCUUAGCGGUAGAGGAUUUUUUUAU